GUCGAACGGUAGCAGGAAGUGCUUGCACUUUGCUGACGAGUGGCGGACGGGUGAGUAAUGCUUGGGAACUUGCCUUUGCGAGGGGGAUAACAGUUGGAAACGACUGCUAAUACCGCAUAAUGUCUACGGACCAAACGGGGCUUAGGCUUCGGCGCAGAGAGAGGCCCAAGUGAGAUUAGCUAGUUGGUGGGGUAAAGGCUCACCAAGGCGACGAUCUCUAGCUGUUCUGAGAGGAAGAUCAGCCACACUGGGACUGAGACACGGCCCAGACUCCUACGGGAGGCAGCAGUGGGGAAUAUUGCACAAUGGGGGGAACCCUGAUGCAGCCAUGCCGCGUGUGUGAAGAAGGCCUUCGGGUUGUAAAGCACUUUCAGUUGUGAGGAAAAGUGAGUAGUUAAUACCUGCUCACCGUGACGUUAACAACAGAAGAAGCACCGGCUAACUCCGUGCCAGCAGCCGCGGUAAUACGGAGGGUGCGAGCGUUAAUCGGAAUUACUGGGCGUAAAGCGCACGCAGGCGGUUUGUUAAGCUAGAUGUGAAAGCCCCGAGCUCAACUUGGGAUGGUCAUUUAGAACUGGCAGACUAGAGUCUUGGAGAGGGGAGUGGAAUUCCAGGUGUAGCGGUGAAAUGCGUAGAUAUCUGGAGGAACAUCAGUGGCGAAGGCGACUCCCUGGCCAAAGACUGACGCUCAUGUGCGAAAGUGUGGGUAGCGAACAGGAUUAGAUACCCUGGUAGUCCACACCGUAAACGCUGUCUACUAGCUGUUUGUGGCUUUAAGCCGUGAGUAGCGAAGCUAACGCGAUAAGUAGACCGCCUGGGGAGUACGGCCGCAAGGUUAAAACUCAAAUGAAUUGACGGGGGCCCGCACAAGCGGUGGAGCAUGUGGUUUAAUUCGAUGCAACGCGAAGAACCUUACCUACACUUGACAUGCAGAGAACUUUCCAGAGAUGGAUUGGUGCCUUCGGGAACUCUGA
rnacentral:rRNA from 1 species